UACGAGGGGGGCAAGCGUUGUUCGGAAUUAUUGGGCGUAAAGAGCUCGUAGGCGGUUUGUCGCGUCUGCUGUGAAAACUGGAGGCUCAACCUCCAGCCUGCAGUGGGUACGGGCAAACUAGAGUGCGGUAGGGGAGAUUGGAAUUCCUGGUGUAGCGGUGGAAUGCGCAGAUAUCAGGAGGAACACCGAUGGCGAAGGCAGAUCUCUGGGCCGUAACUGACGCUGAGGAGCGAAAGCGUGGGGAGCGAACAGG
rnacentral:rRNA from 1 species